UUCGUCCCAUCGGUUUUUUGCCAUCGCUAACCACCGGCUUAUUUUACUCCCUCUCCGUCUCUUCCUUCCGUCCCACUGGUUUUUUUUCCUCCAGCAUAACCUUCCCCUCACGGCGCCUUCGCUGAUCUCUGAUGAGAACCCCUCCCGCAUCCGCUUUCCGCACCUUGCCCAAGCGCCGCCGCCGCAUCACGCAUCUUUGAUCUGUUGCACCGCCGCCUUUGACGGAGGAGACGGUCAUCAGCAAUUUCGCAUCAGCACAUCGCCUACCAAGGGGCUGCCGCCGCCGCGCCGAACGCAUCCUAAGAUUUCUCCUCUGCUAAGAUCAUCUGUCCCACCACGCCUCGCCUCUCCCAUCCCCGAUCGGCGAUCGCGCGGGACGGCGGACGCCAUGAGAAUUGAACAGUUGGAUCGGAGUUCCUGUCGGACCUAAGGCCACACACAUCGACGAGCUCUGGAUCCUCGCGCACGGAGAGAUUAUCCGCCGCCAGCAAACCGCCGGCAGGCGCAUCCUCGAUCAACAUGUGAUUCGUCCACUGAGUUGGCUGGGGCCGGGCCUCUCUUUAAUUGGUGAUAAACUGAUCAUUCGUUUGGUUCGUUCUUUGGUUGGCUCCUCUGGUCCGGUGUUGGUGUUGACUUAAAACUUCUCCCUUUGCUGCGCUGGCCAGCGGCCAUGUUCUUUCUAUGUGAGAGUUCUUGUACUGGUGGGUUCCAAAGUUGGUGCCUCGCAAACGGAAAAGUAGGCACUACCUGAGAGGGUGCAUUUGAAUGAAGUUCCUCGCAAGGGAGAUGCUAAAUUGCUAAUGGUGAGCAGCAUUUGUUUGAUCUGCUGCUCUAGGAUAGGAGCUCUGAGCUGAUCUACCCGAUCUGAUCUAGGAUUUCCAUCAACGGGGCAAAAUUAAAUUUUUAUUUUGGAGGAAAAAUAGUUUCUCCUCGCGAACAGAUGUGGAUAUUAAUUGAAUUUGGAGAACAUGAAGGAUUGAGGUAACAUAGUUUUACAGAAGUUUAUGCCACCUUCAUCACAGAAUGCUUCAGUGACCAAUGUAGAUAUGUCGUUAUCUGAAUUAUGUUUUCACCUAUGCUCGUUAACUUGUAUGUGACUUUGUUGGCAGCCCCCAACUAUAAUUCACUAAGUCCGCCACACAAAUUUCAGUGGAAUUUGUGCUGCUUGAUUAACUCAAUUUUCAGGGAUUGUGAUGGAGGCCUCUCGGGGAAGAGUAUCUUAACCAACAACCCAUCAGUAGGUUAACUUCAUAGUCAUUAAGGUUAUUAGGGGAAGAGCCAUAUUCUUCUGCUGCAAUUGUUGGAUCGUAUGGCUCAGCCACGGUGGCGGAUAAUGGCGAGAAGUGUUUCGUACUCCCAAAUAUUGUGUGGUUGCUUCUAGCAAUGGGCUUUAGUAACAUUCAACUGAUUCAGGAUGAGCUUGUCCGGCAUAUAUGAGCUGGGUAUACAGUUGUAGAUGACAAGUGCAAGUUAUAAAAUUAGGCAUCACAAAACUUUUUAGCAGGCUGGUGACCGAUUAUUAUUUGCCAUGGAUAAAUCGUGCACAGUUAAAGCGGUGGAGACCUACCCAUUCCUCUGGAAAUAUCCAGAGAUCCACCGCCUCCUAUCUCCCACCGCUUCCAAAAAUAGAACGCCCAGACUCCAGACUACUCUCUUCCUCCCCAUGGCCGCCGCCAACUUUUCCAACCGAUUGCACCUCCCUUCCCCCCACUUAUCUCCAGAUAUGGAGGAGUUGGGAGCGCUCCUCUCUUUCUCCGCUCCCCUGCACGUCCAGCCGCGUCAUGGUGCAGCCCCAGAUGGGAGGAACCGGCGUGGGGGCCAUUGAGGCAUCGACAACGCCAGUGUCGCGGUCGACGAGGUCUAGGCUUGGCGGGGUCGUCCGAGAUCGGCGCUGGUGGACAGAAGUGAGAAUUGGUGGCGGCCGCAGCGGUGGUGCUGAAUUGCGCAGCGGGGAACUUUAAGACGGAGGAGUAGGGCGACGGCAAGGACGUCGUGCAGGAGGAGGAUGUGGGGGAGAAGUGCACGGAGCUGUCUCCGAGGUGGCGACGAUACAUGGCAGUCGUAAGGAUAGUCCGUGUGUAUACGAGAACAUCCACUUCUUUGUUGGGGAAAGGUCAGGGACACUUUUGUGGCUUACUUUUCAGCAUAUACUUUUGGUUACUCUGGGUUCAGAAAGAAUUAAGAGGAAAAGCACUGUUUUAUAUUUGGAAAGGGAAGAGAACUAUCUGCACAUGUUGUUUUUCUCAUCAAGAAUGUAUUCUGCAUCAGUAUGAUGCCUGCUUUUCAGGAUCCCUUGCACCUUCGAUGUUAAGCAGGUAUAAUGAUGCACUUAUUUUAGAGUAUAGGGAAGUAUUAGUACUACUCCUGUACAUAUUAGAGCAUAAGAAAUCUCUGAAUUGUAUCUUCGAAAAUAUAGAACCAACAAUACCCCACCACCUUUAUUAUGAUUUAUUUUUGCAUUCAUAUUGUUCUUCAAACUAUAUAGAACCAACAAUACCCCGCCACCUUUAUUAUGAUUUAUUUUUGCGUUCAUAACUCAGACACGCUAUUUUGACUACUUUCACCACCCAUACAAGUUCCAAAUUUACAGCUUCCAUCAAUGUUUGUUUCAUUCCUUCAUGCCAUUGGUAUAUAGUAGCACAGUACAUAAAGAAACGUAUGAAUUUUGCAGGUUUAGUAACAUAUCCAGUAGUUGCAGACAAAUACUUGAUUGGCCAGCUUCCUCACUAUUUGAAGUAUGUUCAGUGUCAAAUCAACUAUGGAAUUACACAGAUCACACGUUUCAUAGAAUCAAAAUUAAUAAGCUGAAGAUACAAACAUCAUUGGUCUUAUGAUAAGCUUGCUUACUUCAAGAACAAUCAGGCAAGGACUAAAUAGAUGCAGAGUUGCACUACCAGCACCAGCUGAUGGUAAGAAAAAAAGAUAUUGCUCUACAUUUAUUCACAUUUCUUCCACGGAUUAUUCUUUCAGAUAUAACACAUUUCGUACUCAUGUUGCUUUGUAGAAAGAGAACUUACUCACUAUUGUUAGGUCAGCAUGAAAUUCGACUUACUGGACUACAUACCACUGAAGUUUUCCCUUAAACAAUAUAGAUUCUUUCAAUUAUUCUUUGUAUAAAAUAAAUUCGUUGCUCUUCCUUUCUUUUAUAUCAGGGGAACACAAUGGAAAGAUACAUUCUAGCCAACCGGAUAGACCAGUUUAGGGAACAUGUGAAGGAAAAAAGCUCAAUCUAUAUAAUUCUAUAAUAUGUACUGAAAAAAUACGAGGCAACAGACCACCACCCUUACUGGAUUAAAAUAACCUAGCUGACAAAAAUUCACGAAGUCAUUCUGAAGCCUGAAAACUUUCCAUUGUUUGCAUAUGAUGUGCAGCCUUUCGAUGCCCUGCAUACAUGCAUAGGCGACAUUACCCUUCUGUCAGAUGCUGUUGGACGGGUUACAAUGCUGACACACAUUAUUCCGUCCAAGAAAAAUCCAAUGACACUCCAUGGGGAUGGCGUGCAAAAGCCUUUUAUGCAUUUGCUCUUUAUAGAGCUUCAUGUGAGCAUACCAUUGUUAUACUCUGCCGGGCAUCGGUAGCCUAUACUGGAGUUUUUUUUUUUUUUUUUUUUUUGUAAUAAGGAUAGUUGUACGUGGACUUAGCUGUGGUUUAUCUUGGUAGGUAUCUUAUAAUAUGUGCUCUACACUGAAGUUGUUUGUAACGAAUUAUCAUACAAAGUUGUUUGUAACGAAUUAUCAUACAUUUUGUCUACAACUGUAAUAUGUAGUGAGUUUAUAUUGUUUUACCAUCCAUGACUAAAAGUGUUGUAAUAUCCUACUAUGCAGUGAGUUCACAUUGUUUGGUUA